rnacentral:rRNA from 1 species
UACGUAGGGUGCAAGCGUUAAUCGGAAUUACUGGGCGUAAAGCGUGCGCAGGCGGUUGUGCAAGACCGAUGUGAAAUCCCCGGGCUUAACCUGGGAAUGGCAUUGGUGACUGUACGGCUAGAGUGUGUCAGAGGGGGGUAGAAUUCCACGUGUAGCAGUGAAAUGCGUAGAGAUGUGGAGGAACACCGAUGGCGAAGGCAGCCCCCUGGGCUGAGAUUGACGCUCAGGCACGAAAGCGUGGGGAGCAAACAGG